UACGGAGGGAGCUAGCGUUGUUCGGAAUUACUGGGCGUAAAGCGCACGUAGGCGGCUUUGUAAGUUAGAGGUGAAAGCCCGGGGCUCAACUCCGGAACUGCCUUUAAGACUGCAUCGCUUGAAUCCAGGAGAGGUGAGUGGAAUUCCGAGUGUAGAGGUGAAAUUCGUAGAUAUUGGGAAGAACACCGGUGGCGAAGGCGGCCAUCUGGACCGGAACUGACGCUGAGGCGCGAAAGCCAGGGGAGCGAAUGGG
rnacentral:rRNA from 1 species